UACAGAGGGUGCAAGCGUUGUUCGGAAUCAUUGGGCGUAAAGAGCGCGCAGGCGGUCGUUCAAGUCGAGUGUGAAAGCCCCCGGCUCAACUGGGGAGGGUCAUUCGAUACUGAUCGACUCGAAGGCAGGAGAGGGAAGUGGAAUUCCCGGUGUAGUGGUGAAAUGCGUAGAUAUCGGGAGGAACACCAGUGGCGAAGGCGACUUCCUGGCCUGUUCUUGACGCUGAGGCGCGAAAGCUAGGGGAGCAAACGGG
rnacentral:rRNA from 1 species